AUAGUGAUCCGGUGGUUCUGAAUGGAAGGGCCAUCGCUCAACGGAUAAAAGGUACUCCGGGGAUAACAGGCUGAUACCGCCCAAGAGUUCAUAUCGACGGCGGUGUUUGGCACCUCGAUGUCGGCUCAUCACAUCCUGGGGCUGAAGUAGGUCCCAAGGGUAUGGCUGUUCGCCAUUUAAAGUGGUACGCGAGCUGGGUUUAGAACGUCGUGAGACAGUUCGGUCCCUAUCUGCCGUGGGCGCUGGAGAAUUGAGGGGGGCUGCUCCUAGUACGAGAGGACCGGAGUGGACGCAUCACUGGUGUUCGGGUUGUCAUGCCAAUGGCACUGCCCGGUAGCUAAAUGCGGAAGAGAUAAGUGCUGAAAGCAUCUAAGCACGAAACUUGCCCCGAGAUGAGUUCUCCCUGAGACUUUAAGUCUCCUGAAGGAACGUUAAAGACGAUGACGUUGAUAGGCCGGGUGUGUAAGCGCAGCGAUGCGUUGAGCUAACCGGUACUAAUGAACCGUGAGGCUUAACCUUACAACGCCGAAG
rnacentral:rRNA from 1 species